UUUCUUGCUUCAUUAACCUCUGAAACUACAGUACCUUCAGGGGCUGCCCCCUUAAGCGUUCAGCGCGUCCUUCCUGAGGACACGUAUGUUCCUGCUCUAGCUGAAGGAAGCGUAACCGCUCCAAGCGCUGCAGUAUUUUGGCACUUACUCGUGGACUGGCCACACACAAAAAAGAUGGCAGCUCAGUGAGCAGGCAGCGACGCAGCGAGGAGGUAGCUGAUCUCCGCUGAUGGACAACCUGGUCUGAGUAGCCACUCACUGCUUUACAGUGGCUGCUGAAAACAAGAGACUGCAAAAUAAAAAUGCAAAUGAAUGCCAACUAUAAUUAUGUUUAAUGUAAGCAAAAUGAAAAAAAAAGCCACAUAUUAAACAUCUAACUUUAAGAGCUUUCUUCCCUGUAAAUACUAUUAAUUCUAAUAAACAACCACUAAUUAGAACCAAGUAUA
rnacentral:lncRNA from 1 species